rnacentral:rRNA from 1 species
CUGGCUCAGGAUGAACGCUAGCUACAGGCUUAACACAUGCAAGUCGAGGGGCAGCAUUGGAGUAGCAAUACUCAGAUGGCGACCGGCGCACGGGUGAGUAACACGUAUCCGAACCUGCCGCUUACUCGGGGAUAGCCUUUCGAAAGAAAGAUUAAUACCCGAUGGUAUAAAGAGUUCGCAUGUUCUCUUUAUUAAAGAAUUUCGGUAAGCGAUGGGGAUGCGUUCCAUUAGAUAGUUGGCGGGGUAACGGCCCACCAAGUCUACGAUGGAUAGGGGUUCUGAGAGGAAGGUCCCCCACAUUGGAACUGAGACACGGUCCAAACUCCUACGGGAGGCAGCAGUGAGGAAUAUUGGUCAAUGGACGAGAGUCUGAACCAGCCAAAAGUAGCGUGAAGGAUGACUGCCCUAUGGGUUGUAAACUUCUUUUAUAAGGGAAUAAAGUGAGGGACGUGUCCCUUUUUGUAUGUACCUUAUGAAUAAGGAUCGGCUAACUCCGUGCCAGCCGCCGC